AGUGACUUGGUGCCUGGAUGACAAAAUAUGUCCUGCCUCUGUCUCAGUGGGAUCACACUUACAGAAGAUCCCUUACUUUGAAUUUGACAAGCUGAGAACUUAGGUCCAGUAUCUUCACAACAAGAACAUUCCCGCCAUCUUCAAGUUCAGUUACUGAUCUUACUCCUCAAGCAUGCAAAAGUCUUACUCUUAAAGUGUAAUACUGCCCUAGAUGUCGUAUAACAGUCUUGCAAAUUGUCACACAAAUGCAAUACAGUACAUUCUGGUCUAGUAA